GAUGAACGCUGGCGGCGUGCUUAACACAUGCAAGUCGAACGGAAAGGCUCCUGCUUGCCGGGGUACUCGAGUGGCGAACGGGUGAGUAACACGCGGGUGUUCUGCCCUUCACUUCGGGAUAAGCCUGGGAGACUGGGGCUAUUACCGGAUAGGACGUAGUUUUGGAUGCCAUUGUGUAAUGUUUGUCCGGUUUGAGAUGAGUUCUCGGCUUAUCCGCUUGUUGGUGGGGUAUUGGCCGACUAACGCAUUGACGGGUAGCCGACAUGAGAAGGUGUACGGCCACAUUGGGACUGAGGGACGGAGCAGAAGGCUACGGGAGGCAGCGGUGGGGAGUAUGGCGCAAUGGGGGCAAGCCUGAGGCAGCGGCGCCGCGUGGGGGAUGACGGCCUUCGGGUUGUAAACAACUUUGGCUGGGGACGAAGAGGAAGUGACGGUACCUGGUGAAGAAGCACCGGCUAACUACGUG
rnacentral:rRNA from 1 species